rnacentral:lncRNA from 1 species
AUUUGGUAGAUAUAGAUACUUUUACUUUUAGAUGUGGAGUUGACCUUUUUGUUAGUGAGAAAUUUCAACAUUUUGAAGACACAUACCCCUCUAUUUCAAAGUAUAUGUCUCUCCAAAAUGACAAUCUUGAUAGAAUUUUUUGGAAUUAAAUAUGUUCCAAUCCACAAAUCAGUGUCUUAAAUGAAUCAUGGCAUAUUUGUCAAAUGUUAAUUGUUUAGGAUAGUGAUAUCUUGUUUAAAGAUUAGUAUAUUAGAAUAGUCAAAAAUCAUAAAUUAUCAUUUUUUAAUUUACAUAAUACUAGUUGAUGCCUUUCUUUCAUAGAAAAUGAUACAUGUACUUCAUUCCAUAGCCUAUAAAUUCUAUACCAACCUUAGUUAUAAUAUGUCAUGAGAAAAGAUCUAAAAAGGAUAUAAGACCCAAUAGGGCACGGAUUUUGUAUGUUCAACCUAUCCUUUGGCCUACUUUCAAUCAUUCUUUCUAUCCAUCUAAUUAUUUUCAUAUUCUUUAGUUAAGUGGCUAAGUUUGUAGUAGUUCAGAUACCCAAAAUUACUUUGUAUUAAUAUACCAAAAAUGAUGGUGUUUAAGUAUGUUUCACCAAAAUCUAUGACUUGGAAUUUAAAGGUUUAAUAUGCUCUUUAUAUACAAUUAUAGUUUUUGAAUCCUAGAAUAUGAAUUAGGUACUAAAAUACAUCAACACAUGCACCAUCGGAUUGAUGAUUUGACAAUUAACAUCUUUCAUUUGG